GUCGAGAAUCUUUCACAAUGGGGGAAACCCUGAUGGAGCGACGCCGCGUGGGGGAUGAAUGGCUUCGGCCCGUAAACCCCUGUCAUCUGUGAACAAGGCCUCCGACCCAACACGUCGGAUGUUGAUAGUAGCAGAAGAGGAAGGGACGGCUAACUCUGUGCCAGCAGCCGCGGUAAUACAGAGGUCCCAAGCGUUGUUCGGAUUCACUGGGCGUAAAGGGUGCGUAGGUGGCGGGGAAAGUUUGAUGUGAAAUCUCCGAGCUUAACUCGGAAACUGCAUUGAAAACUACUCUGCUUGAGGGUUGGAGGGGGGACUGGAAUUCUCGGUGUAGCGGUGAAAUGCGUAGAUAUCGAGAGGAACACCAGUGGCGAAGGCGAGUCCCUGGACAACUCCUGACACUGAGGCACGAAAGCUAGGGGAGCAAACAGGAUUAGAUACCCUAGUAGUCC
rnacentral:rRNA from 1 species